ACACUCCUGCGGGAGGCAGCAGUGGGGAAUUUUGGACAAUGGGCGAAAGCCUGAUCCAGCAAUGCCGCGUGAGUGAAGAAGGCCUUCGGGUUGUAAAGCUCUUUUGUCAGGGAAGAAACGGUGAGAGCUAAUAUCUCUUGCUAAUGACGGUACCUGAAGAAUAAGCACCGGCUAACUACGUGCCAGCAGCCGCGGUAAUACGUAGGGUGCAAGCGUUAAUCGGAAUUACUGGGCGUAAAGCGUGCGCAGGCGGUUUUGUAAGUCUGAUGUGAAAUCCCCGGGCUCAACCUGGGAAUUGCAUUGGAGACUGCAAGGCUAGAAUCUGGCAGAGGGGGGUAGAAUUCCACGUGUAGCAGUGAAAUGCGUAGAUAUGUGGAGGAACACCGAUGGCGAAGGCAGCCCCCUGGGUCAAGAUUGACGCUCAUGCACGAAAGCGUGGGGAGCAAACAGGAUUAGAAACCCCGGUAGUCC
rnacentral:rRNA from 1 species